AGCACUGUAGGUGUCAGCAGCCGCGGUAAUACGUAGGGGGCAAGCGUUAUCCGGAUUUACUGGGUGUAAAGGGAGCGUAGACGGUGAAGCAAGUCUGGAGUGAAAACCCGGGGCUUAACCCCGGGAUUGCUUUGGAAACUGUUUAACUGGAGUGCAGGAGAGGUAAGCGGAAUUCCUAGUGUAGCGGUGAAAUGCGUAGAUAUUAGGAGGAACACCAGUGGCGAAGGCGGCUUACUGGACUGUAACUGACGUUGAGGCUCGAAAGCGUGGGGAGCAAACAGGAUUAGAUACCCUGGUAGUCCACGCGGUAAACGAUGAUUACUAGGUGUAGGUGGGUAUGGACCCAUCGGUGCCGCAGCUAACGCAGUAAGUAAUCCACCUGGGGA
rnacentral:rRNA from 1 species